rnacentral:rRNA from 1 species
CAGUAGCCGCGGUAAAACGGAGGGUGCAAGCGUUAAUCGGAAUUACUGGGCGUAAAGCGCACGCAGGCGGUCUGACAAGUCAGAUGUGAAAUCCCCGGGCUUAACCUGGGAACUGCAUUUGAAACUGUCAGGCUGGAGUCUUGUAGAGGGGGGUAGAAUUCCAGGUGUAGCGGUGAAAUGCGUAGAGAUCUGGAGGAAUACCGGUGGCGAAGGCGGCCCCCUGGACAAAGACUGACGCUCAGGUGCGAAAGCGUGGGGAGCAAACAGGAUUAGAUACCCGAGUAGUCCCUGUCUCUUAUAC